rnacentral:tRNA from 2 species
GAGCCAUUAGCUCAGUAGGUAGAGCACCUGACUUUUAAUCAGGGUGUCCGGGGUUCGACUCCCCGAUGGCUCACCA